AGGAGGGGAGGAAGGCUGAGGACACAGAAUACGUGCGGUCCACUGCAGGGAGCUGGGGAGAAAGGCUCCAAGCGCUCAAUUCUCAACAGCACUGUCCAGGACCGGAAUAUAACCCUGCACAAGUCCUGAGCACAGGAAGAAGGCUAAGAGCUGAAGUCUUUAGUGUGGUACUAGACAUCCCAUCAUGCUUCCCACAUAGGAGACCAGGAGGUCUCUCCUUGACAAUGGCAAUGCACGGAAAUCCUGACUUCUGGAGUAAAGGACUGUUGCAGGCUGAAUUGUGUCUGGUGCAUCUCCACAGCCUAAUGUGGAAGUCCUAAGCCCAGGGAGUCUGCAUUCGGACACUGAGACUCAGAGGAAGUAAGUAAGGUUAAAUGAAGUAGAAAGAGUGGAACUCUAAUUUGUUGACAUUGGUUUGUUUCCUCUUUCCCUUAUUCACUCUUUCUCCUCACGCUUAACUCUCUCCCUCUUCUUCCCUCCCUUUCACCUCCACUCACCCUGCCACCCAACAUGUACAGCACAAAGGUUAUUCAAGGCCAUCAUGGCUACAAACUAUCUGCCUGUAACCAGGAAUAAAGCCCAGAGAAAGAACUACAUCUUCUAACACUGAGAUUGUGACUCUCAUCUUCUACAACUGUGAGAAAUAAAUUUCUGUUGUGGAAAUGAACCAGUCUGCAGUGCUUUCUUAUGCUUGCCCCU